rnacentral:rRNA from 1 species
CCUACGGGUGGCAGCAGUGAGGAAUAUUGGUCAAUGGAAGAGAGUCUGAACCAGCCAAGCCGCGUGAAGGAUGACUGCCCUAUGGGUUGUAAACUUCUUUUAUAUGGGAAUAAAACAGGGUAUGCAUACCAUCGUGCAUGUACCCUAUGAAUAAGCAUCGGCUAACUCCGUGCCAGCAGCCGCGGUAAUACGGAGGAUUCGAGCGUUAUCCGGAUUUCUUGGGUUUAAAGGGAGCGUAGGUGGAUUGUUAAGUCAGUUGGUAAAGUUGGGGGCUCAACCGUGACAUUGCAGUUGAAACUGGCAGUCUUGAGUACAGGAGAGGUAGGCGGAAUUCGUGGUGUAGCGGUGAAAUGCUUAGAUAUCACGAAGAACUCCGAUUGCGAAGGCAGCUCACUGGACUGCAACUGACACUGAUGCACGAAAGUGUGGGUAUCAAACAGGAUUAGAUACCCCAGUAGUC